GACGAACGCUGGCGGCGUGCCUAAUACAUGCAAGUAGAACGCUGAAGGAGGAGCUUGCUUCUCUGGAUGAGUUGCGAACGGGUGAGUAACGCGUAGGUAACCUGCCUGGUAGCGGGGGAUAACUAUUGGAAACGAUAGCUAAUACCGCAUAAUAGUAGAUGUUGCAUGACAUUUGCUUAAAAGGUGCAAUUGCAUCACUACCAGAUGGACCUGCGUUGUAUUAGCUAGUUGGUGGGGUAACGGCUCACCAAGGCGACGAUACAUAGCCGACCUGAGAGGGUGAUCGGCCACACUGGGACUGAGACACGGCCCAGACUCCUACGGGAGGCAGCAGUAGGGAAUCUUCGGCAAUGGACGGAAGUCUGACCGAGCAACGCCGCGUGAGUGAAGAAGGUUUUCGGAUCGUAAAGCUCUGUUGUAGGAGAAGAACGAGUGUGAGAGUGGAAAGUUCACACUGUGACGGUAUCUUACCAGAAAGGGACGGCUAACUACGUG
rnacentral:rRNA from 1 species